rnacentral:rRNA from 1 species
UACGUAGGGGGCAAGCGUUGUCCGGAUUUAUUGGGCGUAAAGAGCGUGUAGGCGGCCAGACAGGUCAGCUGUGAAAACUCGAGGCUCAACCUCGAGACGUCGGUUGAAACCGUCUGGCUAGAGUCCGGAAGAGGAGAGUGGAAUUCCCGGUGUAGCGGUGAAAUGCGCAGAUAUCGGGAAGAACACCCGUGGCGAAGGCGGCUCUCUGGGACGGUACUGACGCUGAGACACGGAAAGCGUGGGUAGCAAACAGG